rnacentral:misc_RNA from 1 species
GAUGAAGAACGCAGCGAAAUGCGAUAAGUAAUGUGAAUUGCAGAAUUCAGUGAAUCAUCGAAUCUUUGAACGCACCUUGCGCUCCUUGGUAUUCCGAGGAGCAUGCCUGUUUGAGUGUCAUUAAUAUAUCAACCUCUUCAGCUUAUGCUUGUUGAGUGUUGGAUGGUGGGGGUUUGCUGGUGUUUUAUGAAGUCAGCUCCUCUGAAAUGCAUUAGCGGAACAAUUUGUUGACCGUUCAUUGGUGUGAUAAAAAUAUCUACGCUAUUGACGUCAGUCAGUUCAGCUUCUAACAGUCCAUUGACUUGGACAAAUUUUUCAUUAAUGUGACCUCAAAUCAGGUAGGACUACCCGCUGAACUUAAGCAUAUCAAUAAGCGGAGGA